UACAGAGGUCUCAAGCGUUGUUCGGAUUCAUUGGGCGUAAAGGGUGCGUAGGCGGCGCGGUAAGUCGGGUGUGAAAUCUCGGAGCUUAACUCCGAAACUGCAUUCGAUACUGCCGUGCUUGAGGACUGGAGAGGAGACUGGAAUUUACGGUGUAGCGGUGAAAUGCGUAGAUAUCGUAAGGAAGACCAGUGGCGAAGGCGGGGUCUCUGGACAGUUCCUGACGCUGAGACAGGAGGACCAGGGGAGCAAACGGG
rnacentral:rRNA from 1 species